UACGUAGGGGGCUAGCGUUGUCCGGAAUCAUUGGGCGUAAAGCGCGCGUAGGCGGCCAGAUAAGUCCGGUGUGAAAGUCACAGGCUCAACCUGUGAAUGCCGCUGGAAACUGUCUGGCUUGAGUCCGGAAGGGGCGAGUGGAAUUCCUGGUGUAGCGGUGAAAUGCGCAGAUAUCAGGAGGAACACCAAUGGCGAAGGCAGCUUGCUGGGCAUUAUCUGACGCUAAGGCACGAAAGCGUGGGGAGCGAACAGG
rnacentral:rRNA from 1 species